AUGGCAGCUGCGUGUAUGCUCAGGAUCGUAGGUCCCGCUCGUCUCUCGCCACACACCAUGCUGCGAAAAAAAUUUAAUCCUCCAGCUGUUAUGUCGCCUGUCGCACUAGCUCCAUCCGCAGUCGCAACAUCGGCUUGCCGCUCUCAGCAGAGCUCCGCGCUUGCUUCUUUGGCAUUUUCGACGGUGCUCCUCCGUCAAUUGUUACGUUGCCCAUGA
rnacentral:rRNA from 1 species